rnacentral:rRNA from 1 species
UUUCCUACGGGAGGCAGCAGUGGGGAAUAUUGCACAAUGGGGGCAAGCCUGAUGCAGCCAUGCCGCGUGUAUGAAGAAGGCCUUCGGGUUGUAAAGCACUUUCAGCCGUGAGGAAGGUAGUGUAGUUAAUAGCUGCAAUUAUUUGACGUAGCGACAGAAGAGCCCAUCCC